AUUGAACGCUGGCGGAAUGCUUUACACAUGCAAGUCGAACGGCAGCACGGACUUCGGUCGGGUGGCGAGCGGCGAACGGGUGAGUAAUGUAUCGGAACGUGCCCAGUCGUGGGGGAUAACGUAGUGAAAAUUACGCUAAUACCGCAUACGAUCUAUGGAUGAAAGCGGGGGAUCGCAAGACCUCGCGCGAUUGGAGCGGCCGAUAUCAGAUUAGGUAGUUGGUGGGGUAAAGGCCCACAAAGCAAACGAUCUGUAGCUGGUCUGAGAGGACGACCAGCCACACUGGAACUGAGACACGGUCCAGACUCCUACGGGAGGCAGCAGUGGGGAAUUUUGGACAAUGGGCGAAAGCCUGAUCCAGCCAUUCCGCGUGCAGGAUGAAGGCCCUCGGGUUGUAAACUGCUUUUGUACAGAACGAAAAGGUUUCUACUAAUACUAGGAGCUCAUGACGGUACUGUAAGAAUAAGCACCGGCUAACUACGUGCCAGCAGCCGCCGUAA
rnacentral:rRNA from 1 species